rnacentral:rRNA from 1 species
GAUGAACGCUGGCGGCGUGCCUAAUACAUGCAAGUCGAGCGAACGGACGAGAAGCUUGCUUCUCUGAUGUUAGCGGCGGACGGGUGAGUAACACGUGGAUAACCUACCUAUAAGACUGGGAUAACUUCGGGAAACCGUAGCUAAUACCGGAUAAUAUUUUGAACCGCAUGGUUCAAAAGUGAAAGACGGUCUUGCUGUCACUUAUAGAUGGAUCCGCGCUGCAUUAGCUAGUUGGUAAGGUAACGGCUUACCAAGGCAACGAUGCAUAGCCGACCUGAGAGGGGGAUCGGCCCCACUGGACCUGAGCCCCGGUCCAGACUCCUACGGGCGGCAGCGGCAGGGAAUCUUCCGCAAUGGGCGAAAGCCUGACGGAGCAACGCCGCGUGAGUGAUGAAGGUCUUCGGAUCGUAAAACUCUGUUAUGAGGGAAGAACAUAUGUGUAAGUAACUGUGCACAUCUUGCCGGUACCUAAGCAGAAAGCCCCGGCUACCUCCGU